rnacentral:pre_miRNA from 1 species
GAUUUCAACUGAAAAAGUCAUCAAUAACAAAGUUGUAUAACUCAUCAAGAUCUAAAACUUUUAUUUGGAUCAUUUCUACAUCCGACAAAGAAAUUUGUAACAUUGUUCACAAAAUUUACAUAUCCCUCUUAUAGUUUAUAAACUAUAUAAGAGAUAUGUACAUUUCGUAAACAAUGUUACAAAUCGUUUUGUCGGUUGUAGAAAUGACCCAAAUAAAAGUUUUAGAUCUUGUUGAGUUAUAAAACUUUUUUAUUGAUAACUUUUUCAGUUGAAAUC